GUACUGUUAUACCACUGUCCCAGGUUAGGGGGAGGGUUGGGAUCCCGCUAACAUGUUUAACCCUGCCACAUUAUUUAUGUAUGUGCCUGUCCCAAGUCAGGAGCCUGUAAAUUCAGUGGUUGUCGUUUGUUUAUGUGUUACAUAUUUGUUUUUCGUUCAUUUUUUUACAUAAAUAAGGCCGUUAGUUUUCUCGUUUGAAUUGUUUUACAUUGUCUUAUCGGGGCCUUUUAUAGCUGACUAUGCGGUAUGGGCUUUGCUCAUUGUUGAAGGCCGUACGGUGACCUAUAGUUGUUAAUGUCACUGUCAUUUUGGUCUUUUGUGGAUAGUUGUCUCAUUGGCAAUCAUACCACAUCUUCUUUUUU
rnacentral:lncRNA from 1 species